GGGUACCGUCAGAACGACCGGGUAUUAACCGACCGCUUUUCUUUCCCAACAAAAGUGCUUUACAACCCGAAGGCCUUCUUCACACACGCGGCAUGGCUGGAUCAGGCUUGCGCCCAUUGUCCAAUAUUCCCCACUGCUGCCUCCCGUAGGAGUA
rnacentral:rRNA from 1 species